GACGAACGCUGGCGGCGUGCCUAAUACAUGCAAGUCGAACGCUUCUUUCCUCCCGAGUGCUUGCACUCAAUUGGAAAGAGGAGUGGCGGACGGGUGAGUAACACGUGGGUAACCUACCCAUCAGAGGGGGAUAACACUUGGAAACAGGUGCUAAUACCGCAUAACAGUUUAUGCCGCAUGGCAUAAGAGUGAAAGGCGCUUUCGGGUGUCGUUGAUGGAUGGACCCGCGGUGCAUUAGCUAGUUGGUGAGGUAACGGCUCACCAAGGCCACGAUGCAUAGCCGACCUGAGAGGGUGAUCGGCCACACUGGGACUGAGACACGGCCCAGACUCCUACGGGAGGCAGCAGUAGGGAAUCUUCGGCAAUGGACGAAAGUCUGACCGAGCAACGCCGCGUGAGUGAAGAAGGGUUUCGGAUCGUAAAACUCUGUUGUUAGAGAAGAACAAGGACGUUAGUAACUGAACGUCCCCUGACGGUAUCUAACCAGAAAGCCACGGCUAACUACGU
rnacentral:rRNA from 1 species